GUCAUCGACUGUCGACGGCCAAUCCCCUCACUAGCCGUGUUCCCUAGCGUUGCCUUUGCCGUGCCCCUCCGUGGUGCGCUUGUGCUGCCUACCCGUUCAGUGGGAGCGAUCCGCAUGAAGAACGGGGCUCUCCAUCCGGCGCCUUCUCGGGGGCGCCGGAGGACAUCGAAGCGCCCCGCGUGUUCCAUCGGGCCGUCAUCGGUCCCCUUGGUCCACGCGGGCGCGCUACGCUCUCGGACCCAGUGCAUGCCGUGGAGGAGGGGCGAUGCCCCUCCCGGUCCCUUGAUUAGAAACGAUCUCCCGCACGACGGUCGCGCUCCCGCCCCGCCGGUAAACGGCGGGCGGCGCUCGACGUCCAGGAGGAUGCUACCUGGUGAUCCUGCCAGUAGUC
rnacentral:misc_RNA from 1 species